rnacentral:rRNA from 1 species
GUGGGGAAUAUUGGACAAUGGGCGGAAGCCUGAUCCAGCCAUGCCGCGUGUGUGAAGAAGGCCUUUUGGUUGUAAAGCACUUUAAGCGAGGAGGAGGCUCUUAAGGUUAAUACCCUUGAUGAGUGGACGUUACUCGCAGAAUAAGCACCGGCUAACUCUGUGCCAGCAGCCGCGGUAAUACAGAGGGUGCGAGCGUUAAUCGGAUUUACUGGGCGUAAAGCGUGCGUAGGCGGCUGAUUAAGUCGGAUGUGAAAUCCCUGAGCUUAACUUAGGAAUUGCAUUCGAUACUGGUCAGCUAGAGUAUGGGAGAGGAUGGUAGAAUUCCAGGUGUAGCGGUGAAAUGCGUAGAGAUCUGGAGGAAUACCGAUGGCGAAGGCAGCCAUCUGGCCUAAUACUGACGCUGAGGUACGAAAGCAUGGGGAGCAAACAGGAUUAGAAACCCCGGUAGUCC